AACGAACGCUGGCGGCGCGCUUAACACAUGCAAGUCGAACGAGAAGGCGUAGCAAUACGCUUGUAAAGUGGCGAACGGGUGAGGAAUACAUGGGUAACCUACCCUCGAGUGGGGGAUAACCCGCCGAAAGGCGGGCUAAUACCGCGUACGCUUCCGAUCUCGCGGGAUCGGAAGGAAAGCUGUCCCAAGGGGGAUGGCGCUCAAGGAUGGGCUCAUGUCCUAUCAGCUUGUUGGUAGGGUAACGGCCUACCAAGGCAUCGACGGGUAGCUGGUCUGAGAGGACGAUCAGCCACACUGGCACUGCGACACGGGCCAGACUCCUACGGGAGGCAGCAGUGAGGAAUAUUGCGCAAUGGGCGAAAGCCUGACGCAGCGACGCCGCGUGGGGGAGUGAAGGUCUUCGGAUUGUUAAACCCCUUUCGGGAGGGAAGACGGCCUUAGACAACUAAGGCGGACGGUACCUCCAGAAGCAGCCACGGCUAACUUCGUGCC
rnacentral:rRNA from 1 species